AAAAGAGUAUAAACAGAAAUCAAAAAACAACCACCUUGGUCUUCCUUUGGACUUCAAGGCUCAGUCUCCAGCAAAUAAAUGGAAAGGACAAGUCUGACCUAUUGGAAGAAAAGCAGUCUUUUUCUAAUUCUCUAUAACAAGGUGCUGGCAGGAGGACAGAUUUAGGUAGAUGGUGCAUCCAGCAGCCUUGCUGAGUCAGACACACUGCCAUAACCUCGGCUGCUUGGCAAACUCUGCAGCAAGGUGAGGCAGGUUCUGCGAUUCUGGACUUUUGCCAAGAAAAUCAAGCAAGGGCACCUAACAGGAGAUGCAUCCUCUUAUCACUUAUACAUGAGCUGUCUGUCUUCACAUCACUUUCAAAAAAAAAAAAAAAAAAGAGGCUUCUGGUAAAAGACUUUCCUUCGGCUUUGACAAAACAGAAAAUGAAAAACAAU
rnacentral:lncRNA from 1 species